UACAGAGGUCUCAAACGUUGUUCGGAUUCAUUGGGCGUAAAGGGUGCGUAGGUGGCGCCGUAAGUGGGGUGUGAAAUUUCGGAGCUUAACUCCGAAACUGCAUUCCAUACUGCGGUGCUUGAGGACUGGAGAGGAGACUGGAAUUUACGGUGUAGCAGUGAAAUGCGUAGAGAUCGUAAGGAAGACCAGUGGCGAAGGCGGGUCUCUGGACAGUUCCUGACACUGAGGCACGAAGGCCAGGGGAGCAAACGGG
rnacentral:rRNA from 1 species